CCCGACUGCUAUUUGGGUGAGGAUAAGCCAUGCGAGUUGUAUGGGAUACCUAAAGUUCCCAUGGCAAACUGCUUAGUAACACAUGAUCAACUUGCCCUAUGGAGGAAAAUAACCUCGGGAAACUGAGGAUAAUUUUUCAUAGUUGAAUAGGCUUGGAAAAGUUUUUCAAUGAAAGGGAUAAGAAAAAUGGUUUUUAUCUGCCAUAGGAUAGGAUCGUGGUCGAUUAUGGUUGUUGGCGAGGUAACGGCUCACCAAGCCGAUAAUCGAUAGGGGCCGUGAGAGCGGGAGCCCCAAGAUGGGUACUGAGACAGCGACCCAGGCCUUACGAGGCGCAGCAGGCGCGAAACCUCCGCAAUACACGAAAGUGUGACGGGGUUACCCAAAGUGUUCAUUUAUGAACUGUGAUAGGUGAGUAAUGUCCCCUAUUAGAAAAGGAGAGGGCAAGGCUGGUGCCAGCCGCCGCGGUAAAACCAGCUCUUCAAGUGGUCGGGAUAAUUAUUGGGCUUAAAGUGUCCGUAGCCGGUUUAGUAAGUUCCUGGUAAAAUCGGGUAGCUUAACUAUCUAUAUGCUAGGAAUACUACUAUACUAGAGGGCGGGAGAGGUCUGAGGUACUACAGGGGUAGGGGUGAAAUCUUAUAAUCCUUGUAGGACCACCAGUGGCGAAGGCGCCAGACUGGAACGCGCCUGACGGUGAGGGACGAAAGCCAGGGGAGCGAACCGGAUUAGAUACGUCGGUGCUAGUUAAACGUAAUUCAACUAACAUCAUGCUAAAAACCCGGGUAGUCCUGGCCGUAAACGAUGCAUACUAGGUGAUGGCACGGCCAUGAGCCGUGUCAGUGCCGUAGGGAAACCGUUAAGUGUGCCGCCUGGGAAGUACGGUCGCAAGGCUAAAACUUAAAGGAAUUGGCGGGGGAGCACCACAAGGGGUGAAGCCUGCGGUUCAA
rnacentral:rRNA from 1 species